CUAUUGAUAAAUAAACAAAUCCUGUUGCUGCUCACCAAGAGGACUGCUUAACAGAUUUACCCAUGUGAGAGGUGGCUCGCUUACAAUGCCCACGCACCCAAAGGGCCAGCUCCUGCAUUUUUUCACUUCACCGAUGCCAAAGCCACUUUGCCCACCUUUGCAGCAGACGCAGGGAAUUAACUAUCUCAAGAAGUGGCCCUUAGUUAUUAACUGAUGGCAGCUGGUCCCAGGGUAUCCAAGAAGCUGUCAUCCAGGUCUUCUCCAAUGAAGCUACAACAACCCACAGAGCCAGCAGGGGAACCUACACCUUCGAUGUCAUAUAUGAGCAAACAGUCAUUAGAUGGGCGUCCUUCAUCUUCAUCUGCAUGGACUUAUUUAUAAUUGUGUACUUUGGACAUAAAACCAUACACAAAAAAAUCACAUGAAUUGGUUUCGAGGAGGAGCCAAGAUGGCCGAAUAGGAACAGCUCUGGUCUACAGCUCCCAGCGUGAGCGACGCAGAAGACGGGUGAUUUCUGCAUUUCCAUCUGAGAUGGAGUGAAUAUGAUGAUUCUGUGAAGGUUUAUUGCAACAUGACUUUUUCAGCACAGCAACAGGAAAAUUUGACUCUGGGUCUGUUCUACAAAAUUAAAGCUUUCUCAGCACAAAAAACAGCAUAGACUGUGAGUGAUGGCGGCCAUCUUGGUUCAUGUGUAAAGACUGAAUUUCAGUGACUACCAACGGCUAUUUCUUAGAAUGUGGCACUUACCCUGGGUUCAGGCUGUGGUCCUUCUACUGCCCAUGAAUGAAUUGCUCCAUCUGAACAUUCGGGAACAGGCUCAAAGCCAGCUGCACUACGAGGAGCACCUCCACAAUCACAACAGAUCAUCAAAAAUGGGACCACUGGUGGUGGAGGGAUAGUAAUACUAGAGUUAGCACUGGGUGCAAAUAAAAAACAAAACAAC
rnacentral:lncRNA from 1 species